CUACGGGAGGCAGCAGUGGGGAAUCUUGCGCAAUGGACGAAAGUCUGACGCAGCGACGCCGCGUGGGUGAUGAAGGCCUUCGGGUUGUAAAGCCCUGUGGGGAGAGAAGAAUAAGUGCGGGCUAAUACCCCGCAUGAUGACGGUAUCUCCUUAGCAAGCACCGGCUAACUCUGUGCCAGCAGCCGCGGUAAGACAGAGGGUGCAAACGUUGUUCGGAAUUACUGGGCGUAAAGCGUGUGUAGGCGGUCUGAUAAGUCGGAUGUGAAAGCCCCGGGCUCAACCCGGGAAGUGCACUCGAUACUGUUAGGCUAGAGUACUGGAGAGGUUGGUGGAAUUCUCGGUGUAGAGGUGAAAUUCGUAGAUAUCGAGAGGAACACCGGUGGCGAAGGCGGCCAACUGGACAGAUACUGACGCUGAGACACGAAAGCGUGGGGAGCAAACAGGAUUAGAAACCCCGGUAGUCC
rnacentral:rRNA from 1 species